rnacentral:rRNA from 1 species
GACGAACGCUGGCGGCGUGCCUAACACAUGCAAGUCGAACGAAGAGCGAUGGAAGCUUGCUUCUAUCAAUCUUAGUGGCGAACGGGUGAGUAACGCGUAAUCAACCUGCCCUUCAGAGGGGGACAACAGUUGGAAACGACUGCUAAUACCGCAUACGAUCUAAUCUCGGCAUCGAGGAUAGAUGAAAGGUGGCCUCUACAUGUAAGCUAUCACUGAAGGAGGGGAUUGCGUCUGAUUAGCUAGUUGGAGGGGUAACGGCCCACCAAGGCGAUGAUCAGUAGCCGGUCUGAGAGGAUGAACGGCCACAUUGGGACUGAGACACGGCCCAGACUCCUACGGGAGGCAGCAGUGGGGAAUCUUCCGCAAUGGACGAAAGUCUGACGGAGCAACGCCGCGUGAGCGAUGACGGCCUUCGGGUUGUAAAGCUCUGUUAAUCGGGACGAAAGGCCUUCUUGCGAAUAGUGAGAAGGAUUGACGGUACCGGAAUAGAAAGCCACGGCUAACUACGUG